CAUGCAGUCGAACGCCCCGCAAGGGGAGUGGCAGACGGGUGAGUAACGCGUGUGGAAUCUACCCUUUUCUACGGAACAACUGAGGGAAACUUCAGCUAAUACCGUAUACGGCCGAGAGGCGAAAGAUUUAUCGGAGAAGGAUGAGCCCGCGUUGGAUUAGCUAGUUGGUGGGGUAAAGGCCUACCAAGGCGACGAUCCAUAGCUGGUCUGAGAGGAUGAUCAGCCACACUGGGACUGAGACACGGCCCAGACUCCUACGGGAGGCAGCAGUGGGGAAUAUUGGACAAUGGGCGCAAGCCUGAUCCAGCCAUGCCGCGUGAGUGAUGAAGGCCCUAGGGUUGUAAAGCUCUUUCACCGGUGAAGAUAAUGACGGUAACCGGAGAAGAAGCCCCGGCUAACUUCGUGCCAGCAGCCGCGGUAAUACGAAGGGGGCUAGCGUUGUUCGGAUUUACUGGGCGUAAAGCGCACGUAGGCGGACUAUUAAGUCAGGGGUGAAAUCCCGGGGCUCAACCCCGGAACUGCCUUUGAUACUGGUAGUCUUGAGUUCGAGAGAGGUGAGUGGAAUUCCGAGUGUAGAGGUGAAAUUCGUAGAUAUUCGGAGGAACACCAGUGGCGAAGGCGGCUCACUGGCUCGAUACUGACGCUGAUGUGCGAAAGCGUUGGGUAGCACACAGGAUUAGAUACCCUGCGUAGUCCACGUCGUAACUAUGAGAGCUAGCCCUCUGGCAGUAUACUGUUCGGUGGCGCAGCUAACGCAUUAAGUUCUCCGCCUGGCGAGUACGGUCGCAGAAAUAAACGUCAAUGAUUGACGGUG
rnacentral:rRNA from 1 species